rnacentral:rRNA from 1 species
AUUGAACGCUGGCGGCAUGCCUUACACAUGCAAGUCGAACGGUAACAGGUUAAGCUGACGAGUGGCGAACGGGUGAGUAAUACAUCGGAACGUGCCCAGUAGUGGGGGAUAGCCCGGCGAAAGCCGGAUUAAUACCGCAUACGACCUAAGGGUGAAAGGGGGGGAUCGCAAGACCUCUCGCUAUUGGAGCUGCCGAUGUCAGAUUAGCUAGUUGGUGGGGUAAAAGCUCACAAAGGCGACGAUCUGUAGCUGGUCUGAGAGGACGAUCAGCAACACUGGGAAUGAGACACGGGGCAGACUAAGAAGGGAGGCAGAAGGGGGGAAGAGUGGAAAAGGGGCGCAAGCCUGAGCCAGAAAGAAAGCGUGGGUGAAGAAGGGAUUCGGGUAGUAAAGAACGUUUGUGGGGAAAGAAAAGCAGAAGGUGAAUAACGCGGUGUUCUGACGGGACAAAAAGAAUAAGAACAGGCUAACUUCGUG